UCAACUCGUGUAGAGUCGCAAAAUGGAUUGCCUAAUGAGAGCAGAAGUGCAUUUCAUUAAGCCGAGUCUAAAUGCAGGGACCGAGUCGAGCCGGGCUGAGUUGAGCUUCGCUUUGCUCUUAGCUGCACU